rnacentral:rRNA from 1 species
AUACGUAGGGGGCAAGCGUUAUCCGGAUUUACUGGGUGUAAAGGGAGCGUAGACGGCACUGCAAGUCUGGAGUGAAAGCCCGGGGCUCAACCCCGGGACUGCUUUGGAAACUGUGGUGCUAGAGUGCAGGAGAGGUAAGUGGAAUUCCUAGUGUAGCGGUGAAAUGCGUAGAUAUUAGGAGGAACACCAGUGGCGAAGGCGACUUACUGGACUGUAACUGACGCUGAAGCACGAAAGCGUGGGGAGC